GAUGAACGCUGGCGGCGUGCCUAAUACAUGCAAGUCGAGCGAACAGACGAGGAGCUUGCUCCUCUGACGUUAGCGGCGGACGGGUGAGUAACACGUGGAUAACCUACCUAUAAGACUGGGAUAACUUCGGGAAACCGGAGCUAAUACCGGAUAAUAUAUUGAACCGCAUGGUUCAGUAGUUAAAGACGGUUUUGCUGUCACUUAUAGAUGGAUCCGCGCCGGAUUAGCUAGUUGGUAAGGUAACGGCUUACCAAGGCGACGAUUCGUAGCCGACCUGAGAGGGUGAUCGGCCACACUGGAACUGAGACACGGUCCAGACUCCUACGGGAGGCAGCAGUAGGGAAUCUUCCGCAAUGGGCGAAAGCCUGACGGAGCAACGCCGCGUGAGUGAUGAAGGUCUUCGGAUCGUAAAACUCUGUUAUUAGGGAAGAACAAAUGUGUAAGUAACUAUGCACGUCUUGACGGUACCUAAUCAGAAAGCCACGGCUAACUACGUG
rnacentral:rRNA from 1 species